AUAUGCAAUUGCUUGAAGUAGACACUUGAGAGUGAGCAUUUCAUGGAAAAAUGCUUAACUAAAGUAGGACUGUUCAUCCGGGUUGGGAACCUAGGUUUCAAAACCGGGCCGGAACCCGGACCGGGUUAUCAUGGGUCAAACCCGGGCCGGAACUUGGAUUGAAACCGGUUUUUAAAAACUUGGAAAAUGUUGAUGCAGCAUUCAAACUCUAUUUAUUUAAUUUUUUAAAUCAAAGCCUACAUGUUCCUUGACCACCAAUAAAAAGCCACGUGGAGAAGAGA